CUGUCACAUAAAAAACACGAACGCCAUCUUUUUGUCGUGUCGAAACGCUUGGAUAAAGAGGUGGAUGAAAUAAAAACAAUUAUUCGACAGUCGAACUUGGGAAACAAUAUCGCAAAGUUCAGUUUCCUGCCCAACAAAACUAUAGAGUGUACAUUCAAAAACGACUUCACUGACAUAGGACAACUGCACGAAACGGGUGACGGCAGUGACGAGGUUGUUGAAGAUGUUCCUGAAAUUUGUAAUGAGAUUGCUUGUCAACGUUGCGGAAGCUUAGUAUGGCAGACACAACUAUUUUGUAGCGAUUGUGGGCUACCGUACGAAUAAUUUACCUUCAUAUUGAGGACGGAGUAAAGUUUAAGAUCAGUGGACGACGAUAGCAUUGAAGAGGAUUAAACAGUUUAUAACAGAUUAUUGCCAUAUGGCCAUUUAAAAAGGUUCCUUUGGGAGAUACAGCUGCAUGUGAAUUCAAAGAGCGAACUUAAGUUGAUUCAUCCGUUGUGUUUGAUAACGAUAGCGAUUAUGGAAAUGGUCUAUUUUCACUGAUAAGCAGAAGAAUGAUAUAGAGAUUAGUGAAAGUGCCUCUCUUUUUGUUUGUGUGUCAAAAUUGGCAUUAGCAGGCAACCGGUAUGAUGCUUAUUUAUGACUGUACAUAAUACAAUAAGACACGAUGUCUGUCUUAAUGAACAUAAACUGCAUUUUCAAAUAUUUGUUUUUAAUACAUUCUUGUUAUUACAUGUCAAAUUAAAAAUGACAUAUAUGUUAUUUAAGACCUACAUACAAUGGACAGUAAUUUUUGUAUGUGGUUUUAUAAUGGCAAUUUCAAUCAUCAUUCACAUAUAUUAGAAUGAACUUGGAAUAGCAUAGUGAUU